ACAGAACGCAGGCACACCCAGGAUGCCGGUCUUUAUAUGCCUGUGGCGUGGGGAUAGGAAUUAUUCCGAAAUUCAAAUGCAACACCAAAAAGCAGUGGUCAUUACAAGGGUGUCGGAUAUGGUUUACAGAGUAGUAACUACGUACACUUUAUACUUGAUGUUGUUUUCAUGCACAUUUGGCAUACAAGACAAGAUUUUGCAACGUAUGAAUCGAGUUCCAUUGGCUCCACGACUGCUUGAUAUUUUCUGUAGUGCCUGCUGUAAAGGGGUGACACAAGCGAAACGUGUUUGUAUGUCCCGAUUUUGUCAGAAGAAACGAUGUUCUACAUAACUUAUUGAUUUACGAAUGACACACCGUCAUGUUCUCUGGACGGCUCAAACGUGAUAUUUUUACAAGUUUUAUAAUGUAUACAUUGAUUGAACAUGUAUUUUUAAAAAUAUGUUAUUCUUUGUUGUUAAAUUAACAUGUACUGAAAUCAGGCCCGGAUUUCUCGAAAGAAACUUAAGCAAAAACUUAGAUUUAAGUCUGAGAUUUUACUUAAAUUUUGACUGCUCAAAUAAAAGAAAACUCAAAACUUAAGUUGAGAUUUCAUGAGAAAUCCAAGCCAGGAUUUGUCUUUGGUGAGUGUGUGUGUGUAGUUGACAUGUUGUAAUCCUGGUGAAUUUAAAGCGUACAAAAUGACAUAGUUUU